rnacentral:rRNA from 1 species
GUAGGAGGCAAGCGUUGUCCGGAUUUACUGGGCGUAAAGCGCGCGCAGGCGGCAGUGUAAGUAAGGUGUGAAAUCUCCCUGCUCAACGGGGAGGGUGCAUUUUAGACUGCACAGCUAGAGGUCGGUAGAGGGGGGUGGAAUUGCUGGUGUAGCGGUGAAAUGCGUAGAGAUCAGCAGGAACACCCGUGGCGAAGGCGGCCCCCUGGGCCGUACCUGACGCUGAGGCGCGAAGGCUAGGGGAGCGAACGGGAUUAGAUACCCCGGUAGUCCUAGCAGUAAACGAUGGCCACUAGGUGUGGGGGGUGUUGACCCCUUCCGUGCCGUAGCUAACGCAUUAAGUGGCCCGCCUGGGGAGUACGGUCGCAAGACUA